rnacentral:rRNA from 1 species
UAGAGUUUGAUCCUGGCUCAGGACGAACGCUGGCGGCGUGCUUAACACAUGCAAGUCGAACGAUGAAGCCUAGCUUGCUAGGUGGAUUAGUGGCGAACGGGUGAGUAAUACGUGAGUAACCUACCUUUAACUCUGGGAUAAGCCUGGGAAACUGGGUCUAAUACCGGAUACGACCAAUCUCCGCAUGGGGUGUUGGUGGAAAGCGUUAUGUAGUGGUUAUAGAUGGGCUCACGGCCUAUCAGCUUGUUGGUGAGGUAACGGCUCACCAAGGCGACGACGGGUAGCCGGCCUGAGAGGGUGACCGGCCACACUGGGACUGAGACACGGCCCAGACUCCUACGGGAGGCAGCAAUCGAAUU